rnacentral:rRNA from 1 species
UGGGGAAUAUUGCACAAUGGGCGCAAGCCUGAUGCAGCGACGCCGCGUGAAGGAUGAAGGUCUUCGGAUCGUAAACUUCUAUCAGCAGGGAAGAAACCAUGACGGUACCUGACUAAGAAGCCCCGGCUAACUACGUG